AGUAGGGUGGUGGAACUGGCAGACAUACCCUCUUGUCUCGAGGGCGAGGAAUGUAGCAAUACCCUUUUGUAGGUUCGAUUCCUACCCCUACUG
rnacentral:tRNA from 1 species